CCUACGGGUGGCAGCAGUGGGGAAUAUUGCACAAUGGGGGAAACCCUGAUGCAGCGACGCCGCGUGAGUGAAGAAGUAUUUCGGUAUGUAAAGCUCCAUCAGCAGGGAAGAAAAUGACGGUACCUGUUUAAGAAGCCCCGGCUAACUACGUGCCAGCAGCCGUGGCAAUACGGAGGGGGCAAGCGUUAUCCGGAUUUACUGGGUGUAAGGGGGGCGUAGACGGCAGCACAAGUCUGGAGUGAAAUGCCGGGGCUUAACCCCGGAACUGCUGUUGAAACUGGGCAGCUAGAGUGCAGGAGAGGUAAGUGGAAUGCGUGGUGUAGCGGUGAAAUGCGUAGAUAUUAGGAGGAACACCGGUGGCGAAGGCAGCUUACUGGACUGUAACUGACGUUGAGGCUCGAAAGCGUGGGGAGCAAACAGGAUUAGAUACCCCUGUAGUC
rnacentral:rRNA from 1 species